rnacentral:lncRNA from 1 species
AAAUUUAGGAUAGGGAAAAAACUAUUUAAUGGAUGAAGCGAGAACAGCAGGAAGAAAAGGAGGGAAGGUAGUUUUCUAGUACAAGCAUAUUGAGAAGAAUGGAGGACAAAGUUUGCGAAGAGCCAGCUAGAUUAACUAGAACUGGACCGAGAGAAAGUCCUCACACCUGAGUUCCUUUCUCAACUCUCCACCAACUGAACCGGGAUGGAAACAGACUAGUGAAGUUCUUUCAGUUCCCUUAAAGGUACUUUGAGGUCAGCUGGACCAGUGCUACUCAUCACCGCAGUGCAGCUAACUGGACGGCCCACCGGAGGCGUGGACUCCUCGGGAACAGGCAGCUUGCUAUGAGCCCCCGGCCAGGUCAGUGCAUCUCUCUGGCCCUGUUUUCUUAUCCCGACUUUCCCCGCUGAGAAAAUAACGUGGCCGGCCAGAGGCUGGGGGCGCCGCGUGAC